rnacentral:rRNA from 1 species
GUCUAUGGCCAUGCCACCCUGAACAUGCCUGAUCUCGCUGCAUCUCAGAAGCUAAGCAGUGUUGGGCCUGGUUAGUACUUGGAUGGGAGACCACCUAGGAAUACCAGGUGCUGUAGGCA